CUUUCCCCUCACACAAAACUGUUCCUUUAGCUAUCUUGCACGCCUUCUCCCACCUGCUCUGACCUCUUCCAACCUGACCUAUUAGUUGACUGCCAUCAUGAACCAUGGUGCUUCUCCUCUUGACUGCUCGUCGAAGGCCGCUAUUUGCCCUUUUGUUCCUGUUUUGGUGUUGUUGCUGCUCCUUGCCAUUGCCCUCUUUGCUGCACCAGGCCAACUUCGGCUCGCUCCUCUACCGUGUCCUCUCUUAGCCUCCGUUUACUGCUUAAGGGUUCUCAAUUGAGUUUUAAUUGCUGACUUGGCAUCUCCUUAUUGGUGAAUUGAUGGUAGUUCACCCGAUCAAUUGAGAUGAUGGAUUCAAUUGAGGACAAAAUUGAGAUUUCGCCUCCUUAUUGGAUGGACAGAGUUGCUGAGAAUUCAUUUACGCCGCUCACCGUGUCUCUUCUUCUUCGAAGCUAUUUUCUCUCUUUCUUCUCUGGUUCCUUCUCCCUUGCUCCUCCUUUAAUUAAACAUUAAACAACAGUGCAAGACAAAUCAGAGGUCAUACAUUGGUCUUCUUCUUGCAGGUUAAAGGGUUUUUGUCGAAAUUUUCUUUGACUGCUCACUUUUCAUGACUGGUUGCAACCAUUAUCGGUAGUAAAACAUUUGCCAAAGAAGAAGUCCCAAAUAUUAGAUUUUUUGUACAGGCUAGAAGCGGUAAAACCAUUUUAUGGUUUGCAUUGUAUUGACAUAAAGGGGUAUUGAAGACUGCUACUUUUGCUUAAUGUUGAAUUUUGCAUACAAGUUCCGCGAAGAAUUACGGGUUGAAUUUCUAGGAUGAAGAGUGCGAAAGUUGAUUAACUACUUGAGAUGACUGCUUUUUCACUUUUCUCCUAUACUGUCAUGAUCAAGACGCAAGAUAAUAUCUUUCCAACCACGAUCAGUGUGCAUUUGACAGUUUGAAUUUCUUUUUUUUCUUAAUUCUUGCCCCGGUGAAGAUUAGUAAUCAUCCAAAAUUAUUUAUGUAUAAAUAUAUUUAUGGGAACAUCAACGAUUGUCUAGGGAUCAACUGGCCUCUUUACUUAUUCGAUAAUUCCUUUCUCAUAUUUUUUUUUCUAUGAUAGCGUUAUUGCGUUCAACUGAAUUGUGUUUUUCUUCAAUUAGGAAGUGUUUGGCUUCAACAAUUUAUCACAGUAUUAGAUGACAGCAUCCUUAAUUUUGUACAAUGCAAAGCUAUGGUUCCAACCUACCAUAGCUGAAUUUAUGGUUGAUUUUGAUGCACAUACAAAGCUGUGGCUAUAAAGCACGUGCUCCGUCUCAUACCAUUGCAUCUUCUCAAACAACUACAGGAUUACAAUAUUUCAAAAAUAUAUCGGACAUUAGUGGGCAUAAUUCCAUUCAUCCAC